rnacentral:rRNA from 1 species
UACGUAGGUGGCAAGCGUUGUCCGGAUUUAUUGGGUUUAAAGGGUGUCGUAGGCGGCUUAUUAAGUCAGUGGUGAAAUACUCUAGCUCAACUAGAGGGGUGCCAUUGAUACUGAUGAGCUUGAGUACAGAUGAGGUAGGCGGAAUUGACGGUGUAGCGGUGAAAUGCUUAGAUAUCGUCAAGAACACCUAUAGCGAAGGCAGCUUACUAGGCUGUAACUGACGCUGAGGCACGAAAGUGUGGGGAUCAAACAGG